GACGAACGCUGGCGGCGUGCUUAACACAUGCCAGUCGAACGGAAAGGCCCUGCUUUUGUGGGGUGCUCGAGUGGCGAACGGGUGAGUAACACGUGAGUAACCUGCCCUUGACUUUGGUAUAACUUCAGGAAACUGGGGCUAAUACCGGAUAGGAGCUCCUGCUGCAUGGUGGGGGUUGGAAAGUUUCGGCGGUUGGGGAUGGACUCGCGGCUUAUCAGCUUGUUGGUGGGGUAGUGGCUUACCAAGGCUUUGACGGGUAGCCGGCCUGAGAGGGUGACCGGGACCAUUGGGAGUGAGAUACGGCCCAGACUCCUACGGGAGGCAGCAGUGGGGAAUAUUGCACAAUGGGGGGAAGCCUGAUGCAGCAACGCCGCGUGCGGGAUGACGGCCUUCGGGUUGGAAACCGCUUUCGCCUGUGACGAAGCGUGAGGGACGGUAAUGGGUAAAGAAGCACCGGCUAACUACGUGC
rnacentral:rRNA from 1 species